UACGAAGGGGGCUAGCGUUGUUCGGAAUUACUGGGCGUAAAGGGCGCGUAGGCGGUGUGUCAAGUCAGGCGUGAAAGCCCCGGGCUCAACCUGGGAACAGCGCUUGAGACUGGCACGCUCGAGUUCGGGAGAGGAUGGUGGAAUUCCCAGUGUAGAGGUGAAAUUCGUAGAUAUUUGGGAAGAACACCGAUGGCGAAGGCAGCCAUCUGGACCGACACUGACGCUGAGGCGCGAAAGCGUGGGGAGCAAACAGG
rnacentral:rRNA from 1 species